rnacentral:rRNA from 1 species
CCCUUAGAUGUCCUGGGCUGCACGCGCGCUACACUGAUGUGUCCAGUAAGCACCUAACCUAUUCCGAGAGGAGCGGGUAACCUUAGCAAAGCACAUCGUGAUGGGGAUAGAUUAUUGCAAUUAUUAGUCUUGAACGAGGAAUUCCUAGUAAGCACAAGUCAUCAGCUUGUGUUGAUUACGUCCCUGCCCUUUGUACACACCGCCCGUCGCUCCUACCGAUUGAAUGUUCCGGUGAGCUCUCCGGACUGCGCGGUCUGCAGUUUCUGCGUUCCGUGCGGAAAGUUGUGCAAACCUUAACAUUUAGAGGAAGGAGAAGUCGUAACA